AGGAUCAUUAUUGUAUAACAGAGGUGUAAGGGCUGUCGCUGACCUUUAAAGGUCGUGCACGCCUAAGCCCUCUCACACAAUCCAUCUCACCCCUUUUGUGCAUCACCGCGUGGGUUCUCCCUUUGCCGGGAGGGCCUGCGUUUUUAUAUAAAACUUGACACAAUGUAGAAUGUUUUCUUUUUUGCAAUGAUAUGCAAUCAAUACAACUUUCAACAACGGAUCUCUUGGCUCUCGCAUCGAUGAAGAACGCAGCGAAAUGCGAUACGUAAUGUGAAUUGCAGAAUUCAGUGAAUCAUCGAAUCUUUGAACGCACCUUGCGCCCCUUGGCAUUCCGAGGGGCACACCCGUUUGAGUGUCGUGAAAUUCUCAAAACCCCUUUUUCUUUGAUCCUUUUUUUGGGGGUUUGGAAAAGGAGUUUUGGACUUGGAGGUUCAAUGCUUGCCUUUCACUUUUGAAAGCAAGCUCCUCUCAAAUAAAUCAGUGGGGUCCGCUUUGCUGAUCCUUAACGUGAUAAGAUGUUUCUACGUU
rnacentral:rRNA from 1 species